rnacentral:rRNA from 1 species
UACGUAGGGCGCGAGCGUUGUCCGGAAUUAUUGGCGUAAAGGAGCUCGUAGGCGGCCUGUCGCGUCCGCUGUGAAAUCCCGAGGCUCAACCUCGGGCCUGCAGUGGGUACGGGCAGACUAGAGUGCGGUAGGGGAGAUUGGAAUUCCUGGUGUAGCGGUGGAAUGCGCAGAUAUCAGGAGGAACACCAAUGGCGAAGGCAGAUCUCUGGGCCGUAACUGACGCUGAGGAGCGAAAGCAUGGGGAGCGAACAGG